rnacentral:rRNA from 1 species
UACGGGGGGGGCAAGCGUUGUUCGGAAUUACUGGGCGUAAAGGGCGCGUAGGCGGCCUGCUAAGUCGAAUGUGAAAUCCCUCGGCUCAACCGAGGAACUGCAUCCGAUACUGGCGGGCUUGAAUCCGGGAGAGGGAUGUGGAAUUCCAGGUGUAGCGGUGAAAUGCGUAGAUAUCUGGAGGAACACCGGUGGCGAAGGCGGCAUCCUGGACCGGUAUUGACGCUGAGGCGCGAAAGCUAGAGGAGCAAACGGG